GCUCUGCAGAUCCUUGCUGACGAUGGUGGUCGCUGGAGGCAUCAAUAUUGAAGAUUAUCUCAUUUACAGACAAGAUCUUUGAAAUCUGGUCCCUUCAGGCAGCAAAGGAAGAAGAGGCUUUAUCGCAACAAAACGGGCAAAGAAACACAAACACUUGAAGAAACAGCACUUCUCCAACUCUUCCCAAAAAUCCAGAGCCCCACCAGAUCCUGGUGGAUUCCAGCCCCCAGUCUUCCUGCUUGCAGGUAGAUGUAACGUGGGGAGCAGGAAUUCCUCAGAUGAGGGGUGGGGGAAGCCCAGGAGCCACCUCGAUGGACAUAGGCCAUUGUCGAGAGCACAACAGGAGACUGUCUAAAGCCAAGCUCAAAGUGCACCAAGAGUUUUAAGGAGCCUAAAGAUCCCCAAGAGAACCCCAAGCAAGACCAUGAGAAGCAAUGUAGCUUGGAAAGAACAAGAUGAACAGACCCACCUUCAAUCUGAUGCUUGAUGAGGAAAAAGGCUGUUUUAUUGGAGCCAAGGAGUCAUGAAAGAAACCCAAGAAGACAACUUGGACAGCGAGCAGAAG